rnacentral:rRNA from 1 species
UAGGGAAUCUUCCGCAAUGGACGCAAGUCUGACGGAGCAACGCCGCGUGAGUGAAGAAGGAUUUCGGUUCGUAAAACUCUGUUGUUAGAGAAGAACAGCGCAUAGAGUAACUGUUAUGCGUGUGACGGUAUCUAACCAGAAAGCCACGGCUAACUACGUGCCAGCAGCCGCGGUAAUACGUAGGUGGCAAGCGUUGUCCGGAUUUAUUGGGCGUAAAGCGAGCGCAGGCGGUCAAUUAUGUCUGAUGUGAAAGCCCCCGGCUCAACCGGGGAGAGUUAUUGGAAACAGGUCGACUUGAGUGAAGAAGAGGAGAGUGGAAUUCCAUGUGUAGCGGUGAAAUGCGUAGAUAUAUGGAGGAACACUAGUGGCAAAGGCAACUUUCUGGUCUAUAACUGACGCUGAGGUUCAAAAGCGUGGGUAGCAAACAGG